rnacentral:rRNA from 1 species
UACGGAGGAUGCGAGCGUUAUCCGGAUUUAUUGGGCGUAAAGCGAGCGCAGGCGGAAAGAUAAGUCUGAUGUGAAAGCCCCCGGCUUAACCGAGGAAUUGCAUCAGAAACUGUUGAACUUGAGUGCAGAAGAGGAGAGUGGAACUCCAUGUGUAGCGGUGGAAUGCGUAGAUAUAUGGAAGAACACCAGUGGCGAAGGCGGCUCUCUGGUCUGCAACUGACGCUGAGGCUCGAAAGCAUGGGUAGCGAACAGG